rnacentral:misc_RNA from 1 species
UCCGAGUUGACCCCGGCAGUCUCCUGCGAGUCCCCGCCAUUACGCGCUGGCAACACAGGACAAGGGUUGCGCUCGUUGCGGGACUUAACCCAACAUGUCACCACACGAGCUGACGACAGCCAUGCAGCACCUGUCACUCUGUCCGGUUACCCGGAAGGGUGUAUCUCUACACCUGUCAGAGGAUGUCAAACCUAGGUAAGGUUCUGCGCGUUGCUUCGAAUUAAACCACAUGAUCCACCGCUUGUGCGGGCCCCCGUCAAUUCCUUUGAGUUUUAGUCUUGCGACCGUACUUCCCAGGCGGGGUACUUAUUGCGUUAGCUGCGGCUCGGCAGGGGUCAAGACCCGCCAAGCCUAGUACCCAUCGUUUACGGCGUGGACUAC